GGGUGUAGUUUAUUUUGUUUGGCUUUGUUAAUUAACUCAAUCUGAGCAUCCUGUAAACAUAACACAGCCUUGACACUAUAGUAUCCAUAUUCACACUCUCUCUGCCACAGUGCUUUCUGCAACUGAUUCAGGAGAAUCUCCCAGCAAUUUUGGGCAGCUCCAGCUUAGCCUUACGCCAGGUGAACAUUACUGCAGCUCUCUGAACAGUGGAGCCAAGUAAUAAAAGGGCAGCUUUGUCAGAUCUCAAAGUUGGAGAAUUGUGCUGAGAGGGAGUUGGCCUGGAUCCUUUGCCUUCAUGUAGUUCUUGGCAAAUGACAUGUGGCAAGUGGCAACCGAGAAAGAAUGCUCUCUGCAGCUGAUUCAGGAGAAUCUUCCUGAGACUUUGGACUACUCCAUCUUAGCCUUGUGCCAGGUUAACACCACUGCUGCUUUCUGCAAAAGGAGCCAAGCAAUAAAAGGGCAGCUUUGUCAGAUCUCAAAGUUGGAGAAUCGCCCUGAGAGGGAGUUGCCCUGGAUCCUUUGGCUUCAUGUAUAUGUGACAAACUACCCAGCUGAUGUUUUCACCUGAG
rnacentral:lncRNA from 1 species